rnacentral:rRNA from 1 species
GACGGAGGGGGCUAGCGUUGUUCGGAAUUACUGGGCGUAAAGCGCGUGUAGGCGGCUUUGCAAGUCGGAUGUGAAAGCCCUCGGCUCAACCGAGGAAGUGCGUUCGAAACUGCAGAGCUUGAGUACCGGAGAGGGUGGCGGAAUUCCCCAAGUAGAGGUGAAAUUCGUAGAUAUGGGGAGGAACACCGGUGGCGAAGGCGGCCACCUGGACGGUCACUGACGCUGAGACGCGAAAGCGUGGGUAGCAAACAGG